AUUGAACGCUGGCGGCAGGCCUAACACAUGCAAGUCGAGCGGAUGAAGAGGGCUUGCUCUCUGAUUCAGCGGCGGACGGGUGAGUAAUGCCUAGGAAUCUGCCUGGUAGCGGGGGACAACGUUUCGAAAGGAACGCUAAUACCGCAUACGUCCUACGGGAGAAAGCAGGGGACCUUCGGGCCUUGCGCUAUCAGAUGAGCCUAGGUCGGAUUAGCUAGUAGGUGAGGUAAUGGCUCACCUAGGCGACGAUCCGUAACUGGUCUGAGAGGAUGAUCAGUCACACUGGAACUGAGACACGGUCCAGACUCCUACGGGAGGCAGCAGUGGGGAAUAUUGGACAAUGGGCGAAAGCCUGAUCCAGCCAUGCCGCGUGUGUGAAGAAGGUCUUCGGAUUGUAAAGCACUUUAAGUUGGGAGGAAGGGCAGUAAGUUAAUACCUUGCUGUUUUGACGUUACCAACAGAAUAAGCACCGGCUAACUUCGUGCCAGCCGCCGCAGUAAUAC
rnacentral:rRNA from 1 species